rnacentral:lncRNA from 1 species
CUCUGAAAGCCUGGGCUCCACUGACGUUUCACACAUUCCUCCCUGAAUCCAGGGAGACUUUGAACUCUAGAUGGGAGUAGAAUUCUUAUGCUUGUGGUGGGACAUGAUUAGGUGAAUUCUAUUUCACCAUCUUGGUGAUGUCACUUUUUCCUCAGCAGUGGUGUGUGUGCGUGUGUGUGUGUUUGGUUGGUUGAUUGUUUUGGCCAAUUUGGCAAAGCUUUAAGCUUCAUCGUGGGGCUGGAAAGGGCAGGAGAGUGUAAGUCCUCAGCACUGGGAUUUGUUGUUUGUUUCCUUUUCACUAACAGCUAUGCCAAAGAUCCCCUGGAAACUGCUCACUGAAAUAACUCAGAGAAAAAUUGUUAAUGCACUUGAUGGAGAUCAACUGAGAAAAAAGAAACGGUGAGUAAUGUCUUGGGUGAGUUGAAAAGAUGCUAUUUUUCUUGCUUCCAUUUCAUUGCUUCCCUCUGCAAUAAUUCUGAAUGUGAUCCAUGCAUUGGAUGUGUCCUCCAGACACAAAUCAGGUUUCAAAGGCAUAUAUGGGGUUCCAG